rnacentral:rRNA from 1 species
AAGGUAGCAUAAUCAUUAGUUUUUUAAUUGAAAGCUGGAAUGAAUGGUUGAAUAAGGAAAUGACUGUCUCUUUUUAAAAAAGUAGAAUUUUAUUUUUAAGUUAAAAAGCUUAAAUUUUAUAGAAAGACGAGAAGACCCUAUAGAGUUUUAUAAAUUUUAGAGUUUAAUAUUUGAAGUUUUAAUUAUAUUAAAUUUUAAGUUUAUUUUGUUGGGGUGACACUUGAAUUUGAUAAACUUCUUAUUUUUAAGUCAUUGAUAAAUGAAUAAUUGAUCCUAGUUUAUAGAUUAAAAGAAUAAAUUACCUUAGGGAUAACAGCGUAAUUUUCUUGGAGAGUUCUAAUCGAUAAGAAAGAUUGCGACCUCGAUGUUGGAUUAAAGUUAAAAAUUGGUGUAGAAGCUAAUAAUUUAAGACUGUUCGAC